UCCCUGAUAGCUCAGUUGGUAAAGAAUCUGCUUGCAAUGCAGGAGACCCUGGUUCGAUACCUGGGUUGGGAA
rnacentral:tRNA from 1 species